rnacentral:rRNA from 1 species
AUUAGCAGCUAGCUCUCUACAAAUCCUCCGUGGUCACCCACUGAAGCUAAGAAUGGUUGAGCCUUGUCAGUAACUAGAUGGGAGCCCAAAUGGGAAAGCUAGGUUGUUGCCGGAA